rnacentral:miRNA from 2 species
AUAUUGGCAGUCUUCGGCCUGA